AUUGAACGCUGGCGGCAGGCCUAACACAUGCCAGUCGAGCGGAUGAAGGGAGCUUGCUCCUGGAUUCAGCGGCGGACGGGUGAGUAAUGCCUAGGAAUCUGCCUGGUAGUAGGGGAUAACGUCCGGAAACGGGCGCUAAUACCGCAUACGUCCUGAGGGAGAAAGUGGGGGAUCUUCGGACCUCACGCUAUCAGAUGAGCCUAGGUCGGAUUAGCUAGUUGGUGGGGUAAAGGCCUACCAAGGCGACGAUCCGUAACUGGUCUGAGAGGAUGAUCAGUCACACUGGAACUGAGACACGGUCCAGACUCCUACGGGAGGCAGCAGUGGGGAAUAUUGGACAAUGGGCGAAAGCCUGAUCCAGCCAUGCCGCGUGUGUGAAGAAGGUCUUCGGAUUGUAAAGCACUUUAAGUUGGGAGGAAGGGCAGUAAGUUAAUACCUUGCUGUUUUGACGUUACCAACAGAAUAAGCACCGGCUAACUUCGUG
rnacentral:rRNA from 1 species